UUGCUUUCUUUGCUGACGAGCGGCGGACGGGUGAGUAAUGCCUGGGAAUAUGCCUUAGUGUGGGGGAUAACUAUUGGAAACGAUAGCUAAUACCGCAUAACGUCUUCGGACCAAAGAGGGGGACCUUCGGGCCUCUCGCGCUAAGAUUAGCCCAGGUGGGAUUAGCUAGUUGGUGAGGUAAAGGCUCACCAAGGCAACGAUCCCUAGCUGGUCUGAGAGGAUGAUCAGCCACACUGGAACUGAGACACGGUCCAGACUCCUACGGGAGGCAGCAGUGGGGAAUAUUGCACAAUGGGGGAAACCCUGAUGCAGCCAUGCCGCGUGUAUGAAGAAGGCCUUCGGGUUGUAAAGUACUUUCAGUCGUGAGGAAGGCAUUGUAGUUAAUAGCUGCAGUGCUUGACGUUAGCGACAGAAGAAGCACCGGCUAACUCCGUGCCAGCAGCCGCGGUAAUACGGAGGGUGCGAGCGUUAAUCGGAAUUACUGGGCGUAAAGCGCAUG
rnacentral:rRNA from 1 species